rnacentral:rRNA from 1 species
AAGUGCAAGCGAAUCCCAAAAAUAACGUCUCAGUUCGGAUUGUAGUCUGCAACUCGACUACAUGAAGCUGGAAUCGCUAGUAAUCGCGAAUCAGAAUGUCGCGGUGAAUACGUUCCCGGGUCUUGUACACACCGCCCGUCACACCAUGGGAGUCAGUAACGCCCGAAGCCGGUGACCCAACCGAAAGGAGGGAGCCGUCGAAGGUGGGACCGAUAACUGGGGUGAAGUCGUAACAAGGUACC